rnacentral:lncRNA from 1 species
AGGUAUCAAUCAAAAUCAAUUAGGAAAAGGAUUCCCUUUAAUUAAGGAAACGGACUUGAGGUAAAUAAGCAAGGUUCUAUUUUUCGGAAGAAAAUCACGAAUGAGUUAUUAAAUAAAGGGUAAAUACAUGUAAGGUUUUUGAAAUACACACGGUUUAAACAAAUAAUGUAAAUAAAAUAAUCAAUCGCAUAGGGAAUCAAGGAGAUUGGGAUACGAAUUGAUACUGAAUUUAGUCAAAGAGCAGGUCCAAAUUAAAAAAUCAAAUAAGUUGGUAAAAUCAGUUUUUCAAAAUUAAGGUUAUUUUGAAAAGGGGAAGGUUGACUAUCAAAGGAUGCACAAAUUCAAGCAGUUAUGUAAUCAGAGAGCAGAAGAACAUAGGCAUGAAACAUAUUAGAAAUUCUUGCAAAGAUUAGCAAGAAAUCAGAAGCAUGAAAAGGGACUCAUGCAGCACACAAACUCGAAAAGCCCCAAAGUCUAGGGUUUCCUCACAUUUCGAAAAUGUAUAGAAAAAAGUAAAAAUACUCAGAUAGCCAAACUCGGAAAGAACACACAUACUCAUGAAAAGCAAAGUACAGUAGAGGGUCACUAGAAAACCCUAGGUAAAGAGAAAAUUACAUGGAAUCAUUGGUAAAACAUUCACAAGUCACAUCACAAAAUAAAGAAAUCACAGUAGAGGAGAUGAAAGAAAGAAAAAUCUGGAAAACCCUAGUUUUAGGAAGAUAAACAGUUUGACAAAAAUAAAAUCUGUAAAAAUCAGAAAUUGCUUUGAUGCUUUAGAAAAUAACUUAGAUCUGAAGAAAAACACAGAAAAGAAAGAAAUAGUUUAAAGAUUUUAGGGUUUCAGAUAGAAACCUAGAGAACGAAAGCCUGGAACGGACUGAUUUUGAGUCGCUAACAGACUCUCAACAUUAAAACUCGCCGGAGAGAGAGUGGACAUGAUCGUAGAACUCAAGUAGGUGGACCUCUAAGACAGUGGUCUUCACAAUAGGGUUUCAAUCCUCGAACAAAAGUUUCGUAGAAGGGAUUGAGGGGUGGGUACAGGUAGAAUUAAGCCUGGAAAGCCAUGGUCUCCGUGAAGAGAGGUCAGGAAGUGAGCGGAGGUGGCUAGGGUUUCAGGGGGUUUGGGAGCGUCUGAGAGAUGAGGCGGAUAUAAGGG